rnacentral:rRNA from 1 species
AUGUUUGGGAGAGGCCCUGUUGUUGGUCGUACACCUAUUCACAGAUGGAACUUUAAAAGGAGGGCCAUGAGGCAACAUCUUACUGGAUGGGCGAAACAUACCAACGGGAUAUAUAAAAAAGAAAAACAACGACUUUGUACCAUCAUUGAUGACCUCGACAAAAUUGCUGAGACGCGCACCUUAUCUCAACAAGAGAUUGAAUUGAAAAAUCAAUCUAAUGAGAAGGUUGCACGUCUUUUGUGA